rnacentral:tRNA from 1 species
GGCUCGAGUAGCGCAGUGGUUAACGCGUUCGCUUUACAAGAAGAUCGCGAAAGAUCGCAGGUUCGAUCCCUGCCCCGAGCAU